GGCGGGGCGGGGGAGGAGGGAGACGGGCCCGAGGCCUGAAUGGGGCGGAGCCAGGUGGGCAGGGCCAGGGCGCUGGGUGGGGCCGGCCGGUGCUCCUGGGGACCGAGACGCCGCCUCCGCGAGCCUUGCGCGGACCCAGCUAGUACGGGCCAAGCCCUGGCACCGCCACCCCCGGCUGCGGGCAGGGCCGGGGCGUCCUCACGCACCGCGCCUCCCCCAGUCUUCGUGCUCGAGUACUACCUGGACACACUGUGGAAGGGGAUGCUGCUCUUCAUCAUCAGCGUGGUCCUGGCCAGCUUCAGCUCCCUGAGAGAGGUGCAGAAGCAAGAGACCUGGGUCUUCCUCGUGUACGGCGUGGGCGUGGGCCUGUGGCUCGUGAUCUCGUCGCUGCCGCAGCGCCGCCUGGUGCUGAACCACACGCGCGGCGUGUACCACUUCUCCAUUCAGGGCCGCACCGUGUGCCAGGGCCCCUUGCACCUGGUCUACGUGCGCCUGGCGCUCAGCUCCGACGCCUACGGAAGGUGCUUCUUCCAGCUGGUCCUCGGCGGCCACAGGUUGGAGCCCCUGGUGCUGGUGCAGCUGUCGGAGCACUAUGAGCAAAUGGAAUACUUGGGCCGUUACAUCGCCCGGAAACUCAACAUCAACUACUUCGACUACCUGGCCACCUCCUACCGGCACGUGGUUCGCCACUGGCCACCCCCUGGCGCUGGCACUGUGAUGCUGGGCAAGAACCCCAUGGGUCACAAACCCAGCUCCUCUCAGUCCAGCUUGGAGGUGUGACUCUGAGGGCCUCCCCCACUCCGGGACUUCGUUCUCAGUAACCUCCCAGCCCCACUCUGGGGCAGAUCAAAUGACCUCAGAGAGCCUGUGCCUUCCAGCUGACUGAAGCAAACCCCACAGCUUGGUUCAAAGACAGAACAGCUGAGAGCAAGGGAUGGCAUAUAGCCAGGCCUCUCAGGUUCCGCCCAUCACUAGAGAGGCUGGGAACUCCGUCUCCUCUUAGCCAGCAGCACUUAAGUUGUCCUACCUGACCUCAGAGGUGCUGACCAAUGCGUGGAAUCCAGGAGUCAGAAUCUGGCCCAUUCUGGACCCCGUGCCUGCUGCUACUCCAACCAGCAAUGGGGUGGGGUGCGGCCAGAGAACAAGCCCUGUGCCUGGGGUGCAUGCUUGCCCAGUACCCACAAAGCUGCUGCUGCUUGCCUCCAGGGGGGUGGGCGCGAGAGUCCCGGGCCAGGGUGCAGGGCCUCCUAGGAGGGAGGAUGUGCAGUGCCCUGAUACCCACUUGCCGUGCCCACUGGAACCCCAGGCCCGCGCCCCUGACACCCACUCGCCGUGCCCACUGGAACCCCAGGCCCGCGCCCCUGACACCCGCUCACUGUGCCCGCUGGAACCCCAGGCCCGCACUACCCUGUCCAGUGGAUCCCCCAGCUCUCACUGCAGCACCUGAGGCCUCCUGAGUGCUGGGGGCUGUUGUGGAAGCCGAGAAGGCUGUGGGCCAUGGGGUCCCAGGGAAAGCAGCACCUGGCUCUCCGGAUCUUCAGGCAUUAUCAGCUGAAUGUCCCUGCAACCAGGAGCAGCUACAUAAUUUGCAGGGCUCCAUGCCAAAUGAAAAUUUGGAGCCCAUUGUUAGGAAGUUAUUAAGUGGGGUACAGUGGUGUAUACCUGUAGUCUCAGCUGCUCAGGAGGCUGAGGUGAGAGGACAGCUUAAACCCAGGAGUUCAAGGCUAGCCUGAACAACAUAGUAAGA